ACUUUCUUAGUAUUAAUUAGUACAUGUGACUUCCAAUCACAAAGCCUUAGUUAGAACCUAAGAGAAAGUA
rnacentral:tRNA from 1 species